rnacentral:rRNA from 1 species
GAUGAACGCUGGCGGCGUGCCUAAUACAUGCAAGUCGAGCGAACAGACGAGGAGCUUGCUCCUCUGACGUUAGCGGCGGACGGGUGAGUAACACGUGGAUAACCUACCUAUAAGACUGGGAUAACUUCGGGAAACCGGAGCUAAUACCGGAUAAUAUAUUGAACCGCAUGGUUCAAUAGUGAAAGACGGUUUUGCUGUCACUUAUAGAUGGAUCCGCGCCGCAUUAGCUAGUUGGUAAGGUAACGGCUUACCAAGGCGACGAUGCGUAGCCGACCUGAGAGGGUGAUCGGCAACACUGGAACUGAGACACGGUCCAGACUCCUACGGGAGGCAGCAGUAGGGAAUCUUCCGCAAUGGGCGAAAGCCUGCCGGAGCAACGCCGCGUGAGUGAUGAAGGUCUUCGGAUCGUAAAACUCUGUUAUUAGGGAAGAACAAAUGUGUAAGUAACUAUGCACGUCUUGACGGUACCUAAUCAGAAAGCCACGGCUAACUACGUG